GACAGAGGGUGCAAACGUUGUUCGGAAUUACUGGGCGUAAAGCGAGUGUAGGCGGUCUCGUAAGUCGGGUGUGAAAGCCCUGGGCUCAACCCAGGAAGUGCACUCGAAACUGCGAGGCUAGAGUACUGGAGAGGUUGGUGGAAUUCUCGGUGUAGAGGUGAAAUUCGUAGAUAUCGAGAGGAACACCGGUGGCGAAGGCGGUUCUCUGGGCCUUACCUGACGCUGAGGAGCGAAAGCGUGGGGAGCGAACAGG
rnacentral:rRNA from 1 species